rnacentral:rRNA from 1 species
CCUACGGGGGGCAGCAGUGAGGAAUAUUGGUCAAUGGGCGUAAGCCUGAACCAGCCAAGUCGCGUGAGGGAUGAAGGUUCUAUGGAUCGUAAACCUCUUUUAUAAGGGAAUAAAGUGUGGGACGUGUCCUGUUUUGUAUGUACCUUAUGAAUAAGGAUCGGCUAACUCCGUGCCAGCAGCCGCGGUAAUACGGAGGAUCCGAGCGUUAUCCGGAUUUAUUGGGUUUAAAGGGUGCGUAGGCGGCCUUUUAAGUCAGCGGUGAAAGUCUGUGGCUCAACCAUAGAAUUGCCGUUGAAACUGGGGGUGUUGGGUAUGUUUGGGCAGGGCGGAAUGGGUGGUGUAGCGGGGAAAUGCUUAGAUAUC